UACGAAGGGGGGGCUAGCGUUGUUUCGGAUUUUACUGGGGCGUAAAAGCGCACGUAGGCGGGAUCUUUUAAAGUCAGAGGGUGAAAAAUCCCCCAAAGGCUCAAACCCUUUGGGAAACUGCCCUUUUGAUACUGGGGGGAUCUCGAGUUUCGGGAAAGAGGGUAAAGUGGGAAACUCCCGAGUGUAGAGGGUGAAAAUUUCGUAGAUAUUUCGGGAAAGAAACACCCAGUGGGCGAAAGGGCGGGCUUUACUUGGGUCCCGGGUACUGACGCUGAGGGGUGCGAAAAGCGUGGGGGAGCAAACAGG
rnacentral:rRNA from 1 species